UACAGAGGGGGCAAGCGUUAUUCGGAAUUAUUGGGCGUAAAGGGCGCGUAGGCGGCCUGGCAAGUGGAAGGUGAAAUCCCUCGGCUUAACCGAGGAACUGCCCUCCAAACUGCUUGACUUGAGUCCGGGAGAGGUGAGUGGAAUUCCCAGUGUAGCGGUGAAAUGCGUAGAUAUUGGGAGGAACACCAGUGGCGAAGGCGGCUCACUGGCCCGAUACUGACGCUGAGGCACGAAAGCGUGGGGAGCAAACAGG
rnacentral:rRNA from 1 species